rnacentral:rRNA from 1 species
AGUGAACGCUGGCGGCAGGCCUAAUACAUGCAAGUCGAACGGCAGCACAGCAGAGCUUGCUCUGUGGGUGGCGAGUGGCGGACGGGUGAGGAAUACGUGGGAAUCUGCCCAGUCGUGGGGGAUAACGUAGGGAAACUUACGCUAAUACCGCAUGCGCCCUUCGGGGGAAGCCGGGGACCUUCGGGCCUGGCGCGAUUGGAUGAGCCCACGUCGGAUUAGCUAGUUGGCGGGGUAAAGGCCCACCAAGGCGACGAUCCGUAGCUGGUCUGAGAGGAUGAUCAGCCACACUGGAACUGAGACACGGUCCAGACUCCUACGGGAGGCAGCAGUAGGGAAUAUUGGACAAUGGGCGCAAGCCUGAUCCAGCCAUGCCGCGUGAGUGAAGAAGGCCCUCGGGUUGUAAAGCUCUUUUGUCCGGAAAGAAAAGCGCCGGGUUAAUACCCUGGUGUCCUGACGGUACCGGAAGAAUAAGCACCGGCUAACUUCGUGCCAGCAGCCGCGGUAAU